UACGGAGGGUGCAAGCGUUAUCCGGAUUCACUGGGCUUAAAGGGCGCGUAGGCGGGCAGGUAAGUCAGUGGUGAAAUCUUCAAGCUUAACUUGGAAACUGCCAUUGAUACUAUCUGUCUUGAAUGUUCUGGAGGUUAGCGGAAUAUGUCAUGUAGCGGUGAAAUGCUUAGAUAUGACAUAGAAUACCUAUUGCGAAGGCAGCUAACUACGGAAAUAUUGACGCUGAGGCACGAAAGCGUGGGGAUCAAACAGG
rnacentral:rRNA from 1 species